rnacentral:lncRNA from 10 species
GGGAUACAGAUGAGUGCAGUGGAAAGACCCUGUGAAGACACAGGGAGAAGACGGUUAUCUGCAAGCCAAGGAAAGAGGCCUGGAGCAGAUGUUUCUUGGAACAAAACCAGCCCUGCUGACACCUUGAUCUUGGACUUCCAGCCUCCAGAACUAUGAGACAUAAACUUCUGUUGUUUAAGCCAAUCAGUCUGAGGCACUUUGCAGCCUGCACUGACUAACACACCUGUGUGGAGCCUCAGGAGUGAAGGAUCAGCAACCAAAAGAAGAAACACAGGAAAACCAGCAGGGCAUUCUGGAAUGGAGCGGACCUAAUGUAAGGUGGCGGCGAAGACACCAGGCAGGCAGGGCUUUUGGGGGCAGGGCAGACAGAGAGACCAGGGGAGGGGAGGGAGUGCUGACCCAGGGAGACUGGUCUCUAAGUGAGUUCAGAGCUUUGAGGUAUGGGAGAUGGGGAACAAGGAGGCCCAAAGACGCAGUGUCAGAGAGCCCUAGGGAAGGAGUUUCUUCUUAUUGCUAUUAUCAUUUAAUUUGCAUAGAGUAAAAUUCACUUUUUUUGGUGUAGUCUUAUGGGUUUGUAUCAUGUGCAUACAUUUUUUUUUUUUUUUUUUUUUGAGAUGUAGUUUCACUCUUGUUGCCCAGGCUGGAGUGCAAUGGUGCAAUCUUGGCUCACUGCAACCUCCGCCUCCCAGGUUCAAGUGAUUCUCCUGCCUCAGCCUCCUGACCUCAGCCUUCCAGUGCUCUGAGAAUGGGACCCAACUCCUCUCCAGACACCAAGGAGCUGACUCUUCCCACCCCUUCCUCCCUCUCUUCCCUUCUGACCAAGGGCCCACCAAGCCCUUUCCUGCUUCCAGACUUUGGUUCUUCCUGGAAUGUUCUUCCCUCAGCUUCCUUGUGGCUGUUUCCUCCCCACACCCCAGGUCUCAUCUCAGAUGUCCUGUCCGCGAGAAGCCCCUCCAGGGCCACCUUGUAGCGCAGCUUGCCCAGUUACUCUCUCCUUCCACCCUGCUGCUUUCCUCCAUGUAACUCACCACAAUCCAUCAUUAUCUUCCUUUUUCUUCUUUGUUUAUUGUCAACCUCCCAUCAAAAAGCAAGCUCCAAGGGCCCAUGUCUAGCAUGCAAUAAGCGUUACACAAACAUGUGGUGAAUCAAAUGAACAAACAAUCUUGUUACCAAUCUGGAUGUAACUCAGGCCAAUCUGCCGUCCUUUCCUGGUGGGGAGAGGGGGGCAUGUUGCUGCCCCUGCACAUCUGGAGGAAAGAAUGAGGGGGCAGGUGGGAUGACAGUCCCCUCACAUCCUAGGUCAUCCGCAAUCCAAUGCCCCUGCACUCUCCACUCUUACAUUCUCUGUGUUAACAAGGGAGGGAGGAUCACUGAAAUCUGAAGAUAAUCCCCAAACGUCAUUUCAGCUGUCUGUGUCAACCUCCUCUGAAGCUAUGCUUUCCUUUGCCCCAGCAGUUGCUAACGAGGCACAAAAGAAUAAAUGUUUCAAGUUGCACAACCUAUCCUUUCCCUGCCACUUUCGGAUCAAGGUGCAGGCGGCAGGAAGUUGGGGGGAGGGGAGCCCCGUAAUCCCAAACUGGGUUAUUUGACACUCCGUGAUCUAGUUAACUAUAGUCUUCCUGCACCUGUUUUACAGCCAAGGAGAAAAGACAGGUCUUGCAAAUGAUUCCCAGUGUGUGUGUGUGAGUGUGUGUGUGUGUGUGUGUGUCACAAGAGCUUGGGGCAGGAAUAGGGCUGUACGACACAGUGGGGCAGGAGCAGGAACCUGGGUCCUGUGUCUGUGCCACAGGUGAGGCAGCUCAGGCCAGCUCAGGCCUCCCAACAGCCCUAAGUCCCAGUCCAGUCAAGGAGUCCCUCAGAUGCUGCCUGGUCUUCCUUGGCACUUCCAGAGCCAAAUCUGGAUGUGCACAGCCCGCCCCCACCUCUCUGUGCUGGGUCUCCACAAGCAGCUGCUGGGCACAUCUCUGCCCUUCGACUUGUCAUCUUUGCUCCCAAAGCAUGGAAAUCCUUUAUUGAGAGUGUGCAACAGCAUUAGGGCCAACCCCUGGGGCCCUGCCCAGUCCUGUGGGAAUUGGCUGCCAAGUCCACACUGGGGCUGAGCCCUUCAAGCAAGAGGGGCCGGUUCUCCUGAGGGCCACCACUCACCGAAAGAACCAAAGCAACCAGAGGGUCAAAGAAAGUGUCUCUGCUUUGUGUGUGUGCUGACAAUGGCAGAGGGUUCUAGUGUUUCUGUUUUCUCUGACUUGCACAAAUAAUCAUAAUAGCUGCCAUACAUGGAACGCAUGCUACAUGCCCGGACAUCCUCCACAUCAUCUCAUUUAAUCUGCACCAUAGCCCUAGGAGGGAGGAGGGACUAUUCUUCCCAUUUGCAGAUAAGAAAGCUGAGGCUACUGAGAGUAAAUGUCUUGCCUCCAGAGGUGGAGCCUGAACUGUGGUCUGAAUAACACCAAGUUCCAUGCUUUUCAAAGCUCUGCAUCCCAAACCUGUUUACUAUCCCCGUGCCACCUGCCCCCGGCCCCAUAAGUGCUCUCCUGGCAACAAAAAGCCCAAAAGACACUAUUUCCUCAAGUAAAAUGCCCUUAACGCUCUGGCCAAACCCAGAACUUCCGUUAACUUGGGGAGCUCAAUGAUCAGGAGUCUUUUCUGCUCAAGCACAGGAACCCCUGGAGAUCCUCCAGGAAUUUCUUUUUCUUUUUCUUUUCUUUGAGACGGAGUCUCGCCCUGUCACCCAGGCUGGAGUGCAAUGGUGCGAUCUCGGCUCACUGUAACCUCUGCCUCCCAGGCUCAAGCGAUUCUCCUGCCUCAGCCUCCCGAGUAGCUGGGAUUACAGGCAUGCGCCACCACACCCGGCUAAUUCUUGUAUUUUUAGUAGAGACAGGGUUUCACCAUGUUGCCCAGGCUGGUCUCAAAAUCCUGACCUCAGGUGAUCCACCCGCCUCAGCCUCCCAAAGUGCUGGGAUUACAGGCGUGAGCCACCGCACCCAGCCAAUCCUCCAGGAAUUUCUAUGUGGCAUUUGGGGACAAGAGUGGUCCUGAGAGAUCAGAGAACUCACAUCCAGGGAGGUGAAAACAUGGAUGGGCCAAGGGUGUCCAGGGAAUGAGCACAGCUGGGCCAGGGAGACCCCGUUUGGCACAGUGCGCCACAUGGGUCGAGUCACAAGAUCAGGGACUCUUUUCAUCUGUAAAGACUGCAGUCAAACCACCUCCACCUAAUUUCCUGGCUCUACCAGCUUUUCUGAGUCACCAGAUCACAAACUUCACUGCUACAAAGAAUUGUCCUAUUGUAUCAAGUUCUCCUAAGAGGUUGACUACUUAAGAAGCAUGUGGAAUGUGGAAUGUCAAAGCUGGAAGGGAUUCAGAGGCCAGCAGCCUGACCAUAAUCCCACAGAUGAGGAGACUGAGGUCUAGAGAGGUCACCAGACUUAUCUGAUACCCUGUAGACUGAACAUGGAGCCAAAUACGUAGGUAAGGUUUGUGAUGCUCAUGUCUCCCAAGGGAAAAGAUGCAUCCACACAGAUCACAGUUGGAGUGAAACUCUUCCACUGGGAAUUCUCUCUCCCAAAUGCAGUAUCUAAGGUGUCAGUUUCUCCCAGUAGGUACUAACCUUACCUGGCCAUAAUGAAGCCCACUCCUUGCCUUGGGGUCUCUGUCCUCAAAGCUGGAGCCGCUCCAGCCACUAAGUACCUUCCUGCCUCAGAUGACCAACCCUUUUCCCUGCACCCCCCACAAAAAAACAUGAAAGUAUAAAUACAGGUAAUGGAAAUGUGACAGGGGACCCACAUAUUCAAAGGGUGCCCGAGGCUUUUAUAGGGUGGGUGGACAAUGCCUUAGAGUCAGGAAGACCAAGAAGGGUGGGGGCCCAGGAACUUUGCUUUGCUGUGAAUAAAUCCACAAAUGAUCAGAUCUAAACACACAUAUUCACACACACACGUGCAAGCACUAUCUAUCUGGCACUGAUGACUGUCUGAUCUUGUGCCUUAAUCAGGCUACACUAGCUAAGCUCCCAGCCUUGCCCAGUAAGAUUUUUUUUUUUUUUUGAGACGGCGUUUCACUCUCGUUGCCCAGGCUGGAGUGCAAUGGCGCAAUCUCG